UUAUUGUUUUGGCUAAAGUAGAUGCUAAUGAGGAGAAGAACAAAGACCUUGCAUCACAAUAUGAUGUUAAGGGAUUCCCAACAAUUAACAUUCUGAGGAAUGGGGGAAAUAAUGUUCAGGAAUACAAAGGUCCCCGUGAAGCAGAUGGCAUUGUUGACUAUUUGAAGAAACAAAGUGGUCCUGCUUCAACUGAAAUUAAAUUUGUUGAUGAACCUAUUGCUUUUGUUGGUGAAAAUAAAGUUGUUACUGUUGGAGUUUUUCUAGAGAGGAGUUUGACAACUUUUCUGCCUUAGCAGAGAAGUUGCGUUCUAAGAAGUUGCGUUCUGAUAAUGACUUUGGUCACACUCUGAAUGCCAAACUCCUUCCAAGAGGAGAGUCAUCAGUUUCUGGGCCCAUAGUUAGGUUGUUCAAGUCAUUCGAUGAACUUUUUAUUGACUUCCAGAGCUAUUUAAGGGACAUCCAAGGUUCCACCUGCUCUCCAUUCUAUCAAAUCGUUGCCUCCCAAGUUCAAGAUUACCACUGGUAAUCCGACUUUUGGUCUAAUGGAGAACCAUGGAGAUGCUAAGCUGAUAAGCAGUGAUGUGAUUGGAUCGGGUUGUCCAGAAAAUGAUGCUUUGAUAGGAGAGGUUGUUGAGGAAGCUCGGGACUGUGCUACUGAUGUGGGUGUUUACGAUGAGGACUUGGUGUACAGCAGAAAAUGUAUGUCGUUAGCAGACAAGCCAUCAAUUGUUGAUGAAGACUUAGAAUUUGUUCCUUUUCCCUUCCCAUCAAUUUCAAUCUCCUCUAGGGAACGCAUGUGUAGUGAUACGACACCUUAUGCUUCAAAGAAGGUAUGGCUUGCAAACACAUCUUGAAGGAGCUCAACGAUCUACAAGAGUAUCCUUUUACUUCAUGCAGAUAAGCUUUGCGAUCCUUUUUCCUAUUUUUUUCCUGUCUAUUUUGUUGGGGUGUAUGUAACAAAAACUAUUAUUUGUGAUGAUAUAUUUAUAUAUUUAUUGCAAUGUGUUAUCUAAUACAUCUAAUGUAAAGGAGUAGUAUGUGAAAAUGUCCAAAAUGGACAUUUUUUUAAUCUUAAAUCUAUAUUCCAUUUUUUAGAUUUAGACAUGAGUUUUGUAUUAGAUUAUGUUGUAACAAUUAAUUAUUUCGAAAUAUGCUCAUUUAUAAUAAUUUUUAUUUGAUUUUCAUUCAUUUUUUAGAAUUUUUAUUCUUUCAAACUUAGAUAUGGCUUCCAAACACAUCUUGAAAAAACUCAAGGAUUUGCAGAUGGCUCCUCCUACAUCAUGGAGAUGAGCUUCUCUAUCCUUUUCUCUGUUUUUUUUUCUUUUUUGUUGGGGUGUAUGUAAAAUAAAAAAUCGAAGGAGUUUUAGUUUUUAUCUUUAAAUAAAUUUCUCGAGGAUCUGCAGAAAAAUCCUCCUACGUCAUGCAAAUAAGCUCCGAUUUCUUCCUUUUGUUGAUGUGUUUUGUGUCUAUGUAAUUUUGUGUUUGUUUUAAUUAUCAAUUUUCCUUUGUAUUUUUUGAUGUUGUGCUUCCAAUAUUAUUCUUUUGUUCAUCGUACAUAUAUGCUUAUAUUCUGAUAUAAGAAAUGUCAAAUUGGCAACUGUGUAGAGUGAUGGUAAGAUAUGUUAAGCACUUUGUUGAAAGACAAUGUCAUUGAUGAUGGAUUGAUGUGGAUGUCGCGGGUCAUUAAGAAAAAUUUCAAACCUAUAAGGCAUCCAAAUGCAACAAAUGUAGAUGAUCAUGAAGAAGGUAAUAACUUUAUCAGUAUUGAUCAAGUUGAGACAGAUCAAACAGGUGAUUGUGAUGGGCAGAGAAGAAAAGAUGUAGAUUUGACUGCUAUGAGAGAGAGAAAAGAAUAAAAAAACUCUCUGGUAUUUUUUUAUUAUAAAGAUUUGGGACUUGAAAAAAAAUCUAAACACAAAAAACAUGUAGAUUUGAUUGCUUUGAGAGAGAGAAGAAAGUAACAAACACUUUCUAUGCCCAACGACAAAAGACUGGACUAGGAAAGUUACACACUUGCUGAUAGACAAUUGCAUUCUAUUUUCUAUUUGUUUCUAAGAUUACAAUUUAUUAUUAAUCAAAUUAAAUUUGCAUUUCA